rnacentral:rRNA from 1 species
AGAGUUUGAUCGUGGCUCAGGAUGAACGCUAGCGGCGCGCUUAAUGCAUGCAAGUCGAGCGAUGAGGCUCCUUCGGGAGUACAUCAGCGGCAGACGGGUGAGUAACACGUAGGUGACCUACCCUCAAGACGGGGAUAACGAGUGGAAACAUUUGCUAAUACCCGAUGACCUUACUAGGUCGAAGUAGUAAGGAAAGCUCCGGUGCUUGAGGAGGGGCCUGCGGCCCAUCAGCUAGUUGGUGAGGUAACGGCUCACCAAGGCAAAGACGGGUAGGGGGUGUGAGAGCAUGACCCCCCACAAUGGGACUGCGACACGGCCCAUACUCCUACGGGAGGCAGCAGCAGGGAAUCUUGCACAAUGGACGGAAGUCUGAUGCAGCGACGCCGCGUGAGUGAAGACGGCCUUCGGGUUGUAAAACUCUUUUGAGGGGGAAGAGCGGGACGGUACCCUUCGAAUAAGCGUCGGCUAACUACGUGCCAGCAGCCGCGGUAAGACGUAGGACGCAAGCGUUAUCCGGAUUUACUGGGCGUAAAGCGUCUGUAGGCGGGUGUGUAAGUUGGAUGUGAAAGCUCCAUGCUCAACGUGGAGAGGCCAUACAAUACUGCACGCCUAGAGGGGGUCAGAGGAGUGUGGAAUUUCCGGUGUAGCGGUAAAAUGCGCAGAUAUCGGAAGGAACACCAGUGGCGAAGGCGGCACUCUGGGGCCCACCUGACGCUGAGAGACGAAAGCUAGGGGAGCGAACAGGAUUAGAGACCCUGGUAGUCCUAGCCCUAAACGCUGAAUGCUAGGUGUGGGGGCGUAGAGCCUCUGUGCCGGAGCUAACGCGAUAAGCAUUCCGCCUGGGGAGUACGGCCGCAAGGUUAAAACUCAAACGAAUUGUCGGGACCCCGCACAAGCAGCGGAGCGUGUGGUUUAAUUCGAUCCUACACGAAGAACCUUACCUGGGUUUGACAUAUAGGUGGUAGGAAGCCGAAAGGCGACUGACCCUUCGGGGAGCUUAUACAGGUGCUGCAUGGCUGUCGUCAGCUCGUGCCGUGAGGUGUCGGGUUAAGUCCCGUAACGAGCGCAACCCUUGCCCUUAGUUAUACGUGUCUAAGGGGACUGCCGGCGGGAAGCCGGAGGAAGGUGGGGAUGACGUCAAGUCAGCAUGGCCCUUAUAUCCAGGGCUACACACACGCUACAAUGGGCGGUACAGAGGGCAGCGAAGUCGCGAGGCGGAGCGAAUCCUAGAAAGCCGUUCGUAGUUCGAAUAGCAGGCUGCAACUCGCCUGCUUGAAGCUGGAGUUGCUAGUAACCGCGCGUCAGCUAUAGUGCGGUGAAUACGUUCCCGGGGUUUGUACACACCGCCCGUCACGUCAUGGGAGUUGGUAACGCCUGAAGCCGGUAGCUUAACGUUAACGCGGGAGCGCUGUCGAGGGCGGGACUGCC